UACGUAGGGGGCUAGCGUUGUCCGGAAUCAUUGGGCGUAAAGCGCGUGUAGGCGGUCCGGUAAGUCCGCUGUGAAAGUCGGGGGCUCAACCCUCGGAUGCCGGUGGAUACUGCUGGGCUAGAGUACGGAAGAGGCGAGUGGAAUUCCCGGUGUAGCGGUGAAAUGCGCAGAUAUCGGGAGGAACACCAAUUGCGAAGGCAGCUCGCUGGGACGUUACUGACGCUGAGACGCGAAAGCGUGGGGAGCAAACAGG
rnacentral:rRNA from 1 species